GGCUGAGUGCCUUCAAUACGUCAGAGUUUAGACACCCUCUGGCUCAACUUUAUUGGCCAGUCUUCAUUAGUCAUUGAAACACAAGUGGAAAGAAGAUAAAGAUCCCUGUUAUUUGAGAGCAAAUCUUCUGAAUAUCCAUUCCAUGAAACUCAGAUACCCUCUCUAGGAACACAAACCCCUGGUGUGAAUUUCACUUUCUGAGGAUUUGAUAUUAGUAAAC
rnacentral:lncRNA from 1 species